GUGAAAAUGAGUUGUAAAGCAACCGUCUUUUGUUUUUAAACAUCAAGUUGUGACACAACGUCUUGGCAUUCAACCAUCAAAUUGUUGUAGAUUCGUAAUUUAUUUUUAGCUGUGUUUAAAAACCUACGAGUAAAACAAAUUGACUACAUUUUUUUUAAAUUUCUUGGCAAGAUUGAGAAAAAUUUUAUACAAAUAAGAUUAUGUCAGACAUUUUUGCGGGCUUCAUUGUCCAACAUAUUAUGGCAGGUGAGGUGACUGCUCGUUCGUUUGACUUUUUUCUAUAACUUAAUUAAGUAGAAACCAAACGAACGAACGAGAUCGGUUAGCGAACGUAAUCAAAGUGUAACAAAAAACAGUGGUGUCAAUCCAAAUCAAUUAUCACCCAAACCAUUCUCACGUCAUAACCAUUCUAAAAACACUGAAAACGUCUCACAUAAAUAUACAUUUUAAGGGCUACCGGGCUGAUUGGCGUGUAUAAAUACACGGACACGCGGACGGACAAUGUCGCGAUAUAUAACUUGCUGUCAACUGUUAUUUAUGCUCCUGCGCAGCUUGAGUUGCGAACGCGCGUCGAGUUCUUGAGAAACCAGCAUAAUGAUUGCGAACGUAACCUAACCUAACCUAUCUAUAGGAUAACGUAAGGAAAUUGGUGUUACAUUGACUACAGUGGUUUUACAUGCGCGUUGCCGAACCUUUAAAAAUCUAUACACUCCCAUUUUGAAAUAACUCAGGAACAAAUUGUGCUCAUCACACAAAUAAAUACCCUUACCAGGAUUCGAAGCCAUCGGUGUCAUAGGCACACACUUCGCAAGCAAUAAGAUCACAUGACUAGACAAGUCCUGA